GACAGAGGGUGCAAACGUUGUUCGGAAUUACUGGGCGUAAAGCGUGUGUAGGCGGCCACGUAAGUCGGAUGUGAAAGCCCCGGGCUCAACCCGGGAAGUGCACUCGAUACUGCGUGGCUUGAGUACUGGAGAGGUUGGUGGAAUUCUCGGUGUAGAGGUGAAAUUCGUAGAGAUCGGGAGGAACAUCAGUGGCGAAGGCGGCCCUCUGGACCAGUACUGACGCUGAGGCACGAAAGCGUGGGGAGCAAACAGG
rnacentral:rRNA from 1 species